GGGCAGGCCCGCUCCGUCGCUGCCGACGCAGGUCGGGAGAGGAAAGUCCGGGCAACGCAGAGCACUACGCAAGCUAACGGCUUGAUAUUCGAGAGGGUAUGGUAGCGUAACAGAGAAUAACCGCCUGCCGCGAGGGCGACUUCCGGCGGGUAAGGGUGAAAAGGCGGGGUAAGAGCCCACCGCGGAGGCAGCGAUGUCGUCCGGCCGUACGUCCCGUAGGUUGCAAGACCAUGUACACCGGUUUUUUAUUCAGCGGGUGGAGUGCGCGUCAUCGUAUCGAAAGAUUGCGGGACGUCCGUAUUCCUGUCCGCCGAAUAAUAGAGGGUUGCUCGCCCGACGCCGGGGGGUAGGUUGCUGGAGACGGCAGGAGACUGCCGCCGUAGAUAAAUGACGGAGACCCUAUGCAAUAGGGCACAGAACCCGGCUUACAAGGCCGGCAAAAUC
rnacentral:RNase_P_RNA from 1 species